rnacentral:rRNA from 1 species
UAAGGAAUAUUGGACAAUGGACGCAAGUCUGAUCCAGCCAUGCCGCGUGAAGGAUGAAUGCCCUCUGGGUUGUAAACUUCUUUUAUAGGGGAAGAAAGAUACUUUUUUUAAGGUAGUUGACGGUACCCUAUGAAUAAGCACCGGCUAACUCCGUGCCAGCAGCCGCGGUAAUACGGAGGGUGCAAGCGUUAUCCGGAUUUACUGGGUUUAAAGGGUGCGUAGGUGGGCAGAUAAGUCAGUGGUGAAAUCUUCCGGCUUAACCGGGAAACUGCCGUUGAGACUAUUUGUCUUGAAUAUUGCGGAGGUAAGCGGAAUAUGUCAUGUAGCGGUGAAAUGCUUAGAUAUGACAUAGAACACCAAUUGCGAAGGCAGCUUACUACACAAUCAUUGACACUGAGGCACGAAAGCGUGGGUAGCGAACA